rnacentral:lncRNA from 10 species
UACAGAAUGAUCAGAAUAUAAAGCAUGUGAGCCCUGGGUUUCUCAGGCACUGGAAGGACCUGUCAGAAUCCUCUCAGCCUGGGGAAUCCCAAACUAUAUCUCUAGUAACAAGGAAACCAUUUUACCGGAAUUUUUAUUAACUAACAUGGAAAAGUUUUGUCAAUUAAUCAGACUUCACUGUCCAUAUCACUUUCAACCUUUUCGGAAGGUAGAAAGAUGGAAUUCUGAAACUAAAGUUGGUAAAGUUCACAGAGAUCGUCAAACUUGCAUGGUCUAAGGAAAGGCCAUGUGAACACAGAGAGAAGGAGGCCAUCUACUAACCAGAGAGGGAGUGGGCCCUCACCAUGAACCAAAUAUACCAGCACCUUAAUCUUGGACUUCCCAACUUUCAGAACUCUGAGAAAUAAACGUCAGUUGUUUAAGUCACCCGGUCUAUGGUAUUUUCUUACAGUAUUCCAAGCUGCCCAAGACAGGGAACAUGCAUCAAAGAAUGCAGCUGGAUUCUAAAGCCUGGGAAAGGCCGGGUCAUGGAUUAUUCCACAGAGCCUAUAGAAGGAAUGCAGUCUUCCAAUGCUUUGAUUUUAAAUCAGUAAGACCUGUGUUGAACCUCUAACCUGGAAUACUGCUAGACAAUAAAUUUAUGUUGUUUUAAACUACUAAGUGUAUUGUAAUUUUUAUAACAGCCACAGGAAAAUAAUACAUUUGGCAAAUCAGUGCAUGUUUCAUGAUGGUCAAUGAUAUGCCCCAGGGUCCAUCUUAGUCAUGAUUUCUAUCCCUU